AUGCAGGCACGAGACAAAGUGACACACGUGCUGCAACUCUGCUCUGCUAAGAUAACACCAGACGGGAUUGAGAUUCCCCCAGAAGUUCAGAAUCUUAUCUCUGAGUUUGAGCAAUUGUUUGAAGAGCCCUGAGGCCUCCCACCAGCGCAUAGCUUUGAUCAUUCAAUUGAUCUGUUGCCGGGUGCGAAGCCAGUGAAUAUUCGACCCUACCGCUACAACCCAGCACAGAAAGAUGAAAUUGAGGCUUUGGUGGCUGAUAUGCUGAAACGGGGGAUAAUCCAACCAAGCCGCAGC
rnacentral:rRNA from 1 species